CGCGUCUAAAUGGUCGAUGAAACGGAAACACCUAAAACUCAAAGCAGGCGCGUGCCUUGGAAAAAUACUAAAUACAUUUGUAACCUGAAGUACACAGCAUGAAGUUAAGCUGGAAAAGAAAAAGCAACAAGAAUAAAUCAAAAUGAAGCAAAAAACAAUAUUGAGUGUAACCCAAGAAAAUUUUCCAAAUCAGCGAAAAAAGUACGAAAAUCUACGUUGAAAUGGAACCAAAUAACAAUAAAAAAGUAGUAGUAAAAGUCUCAGUUAUCAUUUGCUGACCUUCAUUAGCUACUCUUCCAACUAAACAGAAAUAAACAACACCAAUUAGGACAAUAUGACACGAGUUCGGCUAAUUGUGUGAAAUCAUCAAAUUGAAAAUCGAUGCGAUGAGUGGCUCCAUCUAUGGUACACUAUGCCCGCUCCGUAGCCACUCAAGCGGCUGACAGAAACAAUGCAAGCAACACCUCCACCAGCACCAUAGUCGGUGGCAAUGUGCUGGUGUUGGUCUAUAACUAUGACUCUACUACUGCCAAGUACCACGCUCUAUCAAUCAUGUGUACCGCUAACGCGCGAUGCAGAGCCUGGCAUCCGCUACAACGGCAUACCCGAUUGGCUAUAUGAAGCAAUGAUCAAUGUCUAACUGGAUGUGCUAUCUUUCCGCACUGCUUUUCACACACACACAUGAAUUUAAAGUGUAGAACGUAAUUGGAAUACCAAAAAUAUGCGGCGUUCAACACGUUCUUCGAUGACCAUUUGCUCAAUCAACUUCUUCACCGGCCUACUCAUCAUUGCUGUUGUUGCUGGCCUUGCUACGGCUCCUGCUGCUGAUGCCUACAGCCGCUGCCUGCUUCUUGUGCUUUGUAGAAGAAAUCCUGCACUUAAAUAAUACAAUUUGGCUUUCGAAGAAUGUACACUUAAUGUUCCAAGAUGUGUUCAAUGACUCGCUAAUGCAUUUCGCUUGGUAUGAUACAACAACUGGCAGCAAUGCGAAUGCGUAUCUCUAUUCGGAAAUCAGAUCAUCAAGGAUUGCGCCACUAUAGCCUCACAAAACGGUCAUCGCACAACUUUAACCCUGCUCAUACGACAAGUACCAUGAAGCGACUAGGUAGUGCCACACCAACUUGGGUCACCGCAAUAAUAGGACACGAUCACAUUUGUAAAGUUUUGUUACAAGACGGUGAUUUUUUGGAUGCCGUUCGCUGAGUGACGUUGCAACGCCAGGCCUCGAGACGACGGCUGUUGUGACUGCACUCUUGACCUAACUACCUGAUAGAAGAGAGAAAAAUUGCUUUGUUAACAAAUAGGACAUUUAAAAAGAAAUAUUACAAAAAACAUGUUUCAAAAGUUUUUUCGAAAAAAUAUUAUUGAAAUUCAUAUUACAUAUCGGCACUUGCAAGGCAAGUGCAUCAUGCAAAUCCCUGCAUAAUAAAAAAAAAAUUGAAAUAAAUUUUUUAUCGCUUUUCUACAUCAUAUUGUAUAAUAUAGAUAUAUGUAUGUAUCACUAACUUUUAAGCUUCCGCUGACCAAUAUAUCCAAUAUAUAAUCAUUUCAUAACCAAAACACACUUUUUGUUUCAAUAUCAGUGUCUUCUAUUAUAUAGUUUUUCCCUCGUCUUAUGUAAAGUGAUGUUAAGUUAUUUUGCAUUUUAGGAGACGAUAUGUGCAGAUUAAUUUAUGUUAUAGUAGUUUUUAAGUUAUUGAAAAAGUGUUAGCGGAGAGUUGAUUGAAAAAGUAAAAUAAAAGAGUGAUGAAUAUUUUAAAAACAAU
rnacentral:lncRNA from 1 species